AGGCUUUAUGAACCAAGGGGAUUAGCCCUGCUUUCCCAAAACGAAUUUAUGUGAUUAUGAUCUUCAGGCUUUGCCUAUCCAGGUUGGCUGGCCGGUGCUGACGGGACGGAGCUGAGGCUAGAGUUAAAUUCCUAUGUUAGACUUCCGCUGUAGCAAUUACUCAUAUCAGUCUUUUGUUUUCCCAACUUAAGAUCUUCAUGUUAAAUUUCAAAUGAUAUGCCUGACCGAGCUUAAACUCUUCACUACUAAGUUUAUGCUAAUGAACGUCGGUUGUCAGAAGCAUGAAACAAAACUUGUGAUCCAAAGGGGCAUAGCCCGACUUUCUAUCCUAUUUCGGUUUUAACAAGGUUUUUCCCUUGUUUAUUUCUA